rnacentral:rRNA from 1 species
GAUGAACGCUGGCGGCGUGCCUAAUACAUGCAAGUCGAGCGAACAGACGAGGAGCUUGCUCCUCUGACGUUAGCGGCGGACGGGUGAGUAACGCGUGGAUAACCUACCUAUAAGACUGGGAUAACUUCGGGAAACCGGAGCUAAUACCGGAUAAUAUAUUGAACUGCAUGGUUCAAUAGUGAAAGACGGUUUUGCUGUCACUUAUAGAUGGAUCCGCGCCGCAUUAGCUAGUUGGUAAGGUAACGGCUUACCAAGGCGACGAUGCGUAGCCGACCUGAGAGGGUGAUCGGCCACACUGGAACUGAGACACGGUCCAGACUCCUACGGGAGGCAGCAGUAGGGAAUCUUCCGCAAUGGGCGAAAGCCUGACGGAGCAACGCCGCGUGAGUGAUGAAGGUCUUCGGAUCGUAAAACUCUGUUAUUAGGGAAGAACAAAUGUGUAAGUAACUAUGCACGUCUUGACGGUACCUAAUCAGAAAGCCACGGCUAACUACGUG